AUUCUGACACAGACACAGGGUGUGCAGGCAAGAGAGAGGCAAGGUCUUUCUCAAUUAUUCUGUGCCCAUCAUCUUUUACAUACUUUUUUUAAAGUCCGUAUUAGUUUAUGUCAAGAGCCACAGUGGCUACACAAGAAGGAAAAGGAGGGGGAGAAGGAAAGGGACAGGGGAGUUUUAAAGCUAGAACGUGAGAGGAAAGCAGAUAUUUCUCCCCUCCUUCAAAAAAAAAAAAAAAAGAAAAAAAAAGAAAAAGAAAGAAACAAAAAACAAAACAAAACCCCAAACCGGCUGCCUCUGAGCAUUUCAGGCCAGGACCGGCUGGGUCAGUCUCCUUUGGGGCAUUUCUCCUUGCUCAUCUUUUUCAUUUUCAUCCUGCGGUUCUGGAACCAGAUUUUGACCUGUCUCUCUGUAAGGUUCAGAAUCCUGGCCACCUCGUAGCGCCGGUCCCGGGUGAGGUACAUGUUGAAGAGGAAUUCCUUCUCCAGCUCUAGAGUCUGGUAUUUGGUGUAGGGACAGCGCUUUUUCCGGGUGGAGCGAGCGUGGAUCCAGUUCGCUGCGGGGUUGUCUAGGAAGAGGGGGGUUUGCAGACAGGGAGCGAGGGGCGGAGGGGAGGCAGGGAGAGACGACAGGGUGGAGAAGAGAGGUCGUUAAAUUAAUUUCACCAAGGAUGGACGCUUUUCACAACUUGGGGGAAUUAUCAUAAAAAGCCUUAAUGCCCGCGCUCUGUUUACCGUACAAACCGCGCGCCCAAGGUAGGUGGUUAUGGGAAGCUUUUUUAUGGAUGCGUGUUGCUCGCCUAGGCUUGGGUAGGCGUCUAGACGUUUUUAUAGGUUAGUAAAACUAUCAGUUUUGCACAUUCGAGCCUUACAGGUUUCAGCAAUAAAUCAGGGGGCAAUUUCUUUUGCACUUACUUGGGUCAAGUUGCUGCUGCGGCGGCUGCGGCGGCUGCUUCUCCUCCUCCUU
rnacentral:lncRNA from 1 species